GCGGUCGUGGCGGAAUUGGCAGACGCGCUAGAUUCAGGUUCUAGUGGUCGCAAGACCGUGGAGGUUCAAAUCCUCUCGACCGCACCA
rnacentral:tRNA from 1 species